GAUGAACGCUGGCGGCGUGCCUAAUACAUGCGAGUCGAGCGAACAGACGAGGAGCUUGCUCCUCUGCCGUUAGCGGCGGACGGGUGAGUAACACGUGGAUAACCUACCUAUAAGACUGGGAUAACUUCGGGAAACCGGAGCUAAUACCGGAUCACAUGUUGAACCGCAUGGUUCAACAGUGAAAGACGGUCUUGCUGUCACUUAUAGAUGGAUCCGCGCCGCAUUAGCUAGUUGGUAAGGUAACGGCUUACCAAGGCAACGAUGCGUAGCCGACCUGAGAGGAUGAUAGGCCACACUGGAAAUGAGACACGGUCCAGACACAGAAGGGAGGCAGAAGUGGGGAAGAUUGGAAAAUGGGCGCAAGGCUGAACCAGCCAUACCGAGUGAGUGAAGAAGGCCUUAGGGUUGUAAAGCCCUUUUGUUGGGAAAGAAAAGCAGCAGGUGAAUACCCCGCUGUUCGGACGGUACCCAAAGAAUAAGCACCGGCUAACUUCGUG
rnacentral:rRNA from 1 species